UGUGGGUAGGGAGGCCUUUGGGGCUAUCCACGAUACGCACCUGCCGCGAGGGUUGGCGAUUGUGAGAGAGAAAGAAAAGUAGAAGGAAAAGGUUGGGCGAGCGACGAAAAAAAGGUAAAGUGAUUGGUCGCACGAUUCCUCUCCCCACACGCAUCCUCCUCCAUCUCUCACAUCCCAGCUGCGGCGGCGGCUCCCCAUGCCCUCAUCUUCUUCCUCUCGUCCUCUCCGGCCGGUUCAUGGCCGCCUCCACCACUACGGCUUCAUCUACGUCGCCAGCCCAUGGUGGAAGCAGGCGGAGGCAAAUCAACCGCAGAGGCUUGACGGCCAGAGCGAUGGCGGCCGGCGUGGCCCUGGAAGGUCGGGCGAUGUCGCCAUAUUGGCCGUCUCGAAGGCCAGGAUGCGCUGCCACUCAGCUCUCUCCCCCAACAGAUCGAAGGUCGAAGCGCCGUGCAUCACGGCGGCAGUUUGGACUGAGGUACGUGAUUUCCAUUUUUCUCGUUGUAUUUUCUCCAUCUAAAUACAAAUAUAUGCCCCACGCUGAUAGUUUGUGAUCCGGCCUCCUGUUUAUUGGUUACUGUGUGGAACAAUCAUACUGUCAUGUUGCCCUUUGCUAUUUGGCAUUUGUUGUUGUUGAUUUACAGAAUGCAGGUGCGGGGUAUUCUCUGCCCACUUCCAAUCAUGCUCCCUUUGCAACUUCUUUAUUUCUUGGGAUUGGACAAUGCACUCUAUGUCUUGAUGAAUUGGUCACUUGCCACGGCUUCAGUUAUAGCAUAAGGAUUUUCCUUGGGAAUUAUGGAGCUAAUUCAGUGACAAGAAAGCAACUAUGAAGUACAUCAGAUAGAUGUUCAGAAAACUAUUCUAAAUGGUUUGGUCAAAAUCAAGGAUCUGGAUCAUCUAGCUAUACUGAAAGGCUAUCUUUGUGAUAUAUAUUUUUUCCUUUCGAAUUAUAGAGGCUUCCUAAUGUUUUUUUUGUAUGCAUCAGAGUGAUGAAUCGACUUGACAUCAAUCAUCUUUCGAGUUUUGGAAGGGAGCAAUUUUGGCACUAUAUCCUAACCUGAAGUGGUGCUUAUGAGAAUUUGACUUGAAAAACACACUACCGUAUACCAGAUCACAUAAAGAUGUUACAAAAUCGAAUUUUGAGGACAACCGUCAGUGAGCUUAAGGACGUUGCCUUAUUCGCUCCUUAUGUAUGUGUAUAACUUGGUCCCUUUAUGUUACUUGUUGUCACGUGUUGAAGCCCAAGAUUCAUUUUUCGCUAUGUGUUUUGCCCUUAUAUUUUCAUGCUAUGUGAUUUGCCAAUUGACACGUGCUCUCAUGACCACCAAUAGACCCAACACUGCAAAGAGGGCAUUUUCUCUGAGAGAUCAAAGGAACGCUGAGCUCAAAUGUGUGCUUUGGAGACAAAGAGCUGCUGAAUUCAAUGGUAAUGGCUAGAGCUCUGCUGUUGUUGGGAUCUUUUUUGGUGUCCUUAUAAAAUAUUAUAACAGUGGGUUUGUUUUUUAACAUUUGAUGCAUUGCCUUCUCAAUACAUAUAUCCAGUUCUGGUUUUAGUGAGCACCUGAAGCCUGAAGGUAUCAAGAAAAAAAAAUAUCCUUAUUACAUUGAACUCUAAUGUACCGUGUAGAUGAUGAGACACUUAGGGGUGGUUCUGAUGAAAACUUGCCUAAUAUUGACUCUUGCUUUGAAAGGUAGGUCCAUGUUAUGUGUACAUUCCAUUAUGCAUUCAUUUUUUACGUUGGUUGAUGGUGUUACCCAUUCACCCAUAUGCGGGCUCUUUCUAUGUCUUUGCGACAGUUCAUGUGUGUUCUAGAGGAAGAAGAUGGAGUUCUAUAAUUCUAUAGAAGAAUUGGGCUUAAAUCUCACUGUUCAAACAGUGCCAGGAGUACAUAGAUUUCAGCAGAGAAGAACUGGGUUAGCUUGUAUUUAGGUAAGUAGAUUAGAUAUGCCAAAAUUAAGAAAAUUGAAGACGGUUGGCUACAGGCUUGCACUUUCAAAUUUGAGUGGAUACUUGGUUGUUAAAAACUCAACAUGUCGCUUACUGAACUGCCGCAUGCACCUAAAUUUUAUCAUACCACACAUCUCCUUUCUUUUUCCUGCUCUGUAAUUUGUUUUGUUGCUCUUGUGUAAAUUUUCAGCUGAUGCCAUCCAAUAUUUUGCAAAGGAUGUUAAUAUUAUCACAAAACCUUCAGUAUUGAAGCUAGCAAGUUGACAUCAGCAAUCAAUCAAGUUAUCGCUCAACUACCUGACAGUACAAUAUGAGGUGAAGCUGGUCUCUCUAUAUAUAUACCUCUUCUGUUUCAAUUGCAGGUCGGGGUAGCAUGGGCCGUUGAGAGGAAGGUUAGAUACGAAAGGGGAGAGGAGAUGACAAAGUUUGCAAAGAGAAGAAAUGCUAUCUAGGCACAACUCGGAGGAGAGAGGCAGGCCAUGUCUUGCACGUGUUACCAUGAUGCAACUGUUAAGAUUGGGACGGGAUUGAGCCGGGAUUGAGCCGCAACUGUACGGUAAGGAGGCGCCCCAUGGGGCGCCCCAACCACUAGAUUUGCUCCGGCCCCGAUGGAGUGAGUCGCAUGGGUUGGUAGCUGAUGUCGAGAACAAUGGCGGCAUAGGUCUGGAUGGCGCGUGCAUGCAUGGCGCCUUGGCGCGUUGUCGGGGACGUGUGCGCGGAGUCGACGGCAUGGUGAUGCGGCCGAUGCUGCUGCUGGUUGUGGGUGAUUUUUUUUCGCUGCUGGCAGGGGCGGAGCUAGAACUAUUCAUGGAUAUUCAAUGAAUACUCAAUAUUUUUUGUAAUUUUUUUAGUAUAUAAGCUCCUAUAUGCAUUUAUAUACAUAUAGCACACGAGCCCGUGCGUUGCAUCGGGAGAUUUUAAAACCAAAAUUUAGAUGUGAAAUGUUGAUGCUACCAAAAUUUUACCCAAACUU